rnacentral:rRNA from 1 species
AUUGAACGCUGGCGGCAUGCCUUACACAUGCAAGUCGAACGGCAGCACGGGAGCAAUCCUGGUGGCGAGUGGCGAACGGGUGAGUAAUGUAUCGGAACGUACCUUUCAGUGGGGGAUAACGUAGCGAAGUUACGCUAAUACCGCAUAUUCUGUGAGCAGGAAAGCAGGGGAGUCGCAAGACCUUGCGCUGAUUGAGCGGCCGAUAUCAGAUUAGCUAGUUGGUGAGGUAAAGGCUCACCAAGGCGACGAUCUGUAGCGGGUCUGAGAGGAUGAUCCGCCACACUGGAACUGAGACACGGUCCAGACUCCUACGGGAGGGCAGCAGUGGGGAAUUUUGGACAAUGGGCGCAAGCCUGAUCCAGCCAUGCCGCGUGCAGGAU